UAGCGUAGGGCGCAAGCGUUUAUCCGGAAUUAUUGAGCGUAAAGAGCUCGUAGGUCGGUUUGUCGCGUCUGCCGUCGAAAGUCCGGGGCUCAACUCCGGAUCUGCAGUGGAUACGGGCAGACUAGAGGUAGGUGAGGGGAGAAGUGGAAUUCCCGGUGUAGCGGUGAAAUGCGCAGAUAUCAGGAGGAACACCGAUGGCGAAGGCGGCUCUCUGGAACGCAACUGGACGCUGAGACGCGAAAGCGUGGGGAGCAAACAGG
rnacentral:rRNA from 1 species